AGAGUUUGAUCCUGGCUCAGGAUGAACGCUAGCGGCAGGCCUAAUACAUGCAAGUCGAGGGGUAGAGGUUGCUUGCAACCUUGAGACCGGCGCACGGGUGCGUAACGCGUAUGCAACCUACCUUCAUCUGGGGGAUAGCCCGGAGAAAUCCGGAUUAAUACCGCAUAAAAUCACAGUACGGCAUCGUACAAUGAUCAAACAUUUAUGGGAUGGAGAUGGGCAUGCGUGUCAUUAGUUAGUUGGCGGGGUAACGGCCCACCAAGACCGCGAUGACUAGGGGAUCUGAGAGGAUGACCCCCCACACUGGUACUGAGACACGGACCAGACUCCUACGGGAGGCAGCAGUAAGGAAUAUUGGUCAAUGGGGGCAACCCUGAACCAGCCAUGCCGCGUGCAGGAAGACGGCCCUCUGGGUUGUAAACUGCUUUUAUUCGGGAAUAAACCUACUUACGUGUAAGUAGCUGAAUGUACCGAAGGAAUAAGGAUCGGCUAACUCCGUGCCAGCAGCCGCGGUAAUACGGAGGAUCCAAGCGUUAUCCGGAUUUAUUGGGUUUAAAGGGUGCGUAGGCGGCCUGUUAAGUCAGGGGUGAAAGACGGUAGCUCAACUAUCGCAGUGCCCUUGAUACUGAUGGGCUUGAAUGGACUAGAGGUAGGCGGAAUGUGACAAGUAGCGGUGAAAUGCAUAGAUAUGUCACAGAACACCGAUUGCGAAGGCAGCUUACUAUGGUCAUAUUGACGCUGAGGCACGAAAGCGUGGGGAUCAAACAGGAUUAGAUACCCUGGUAGUCCACGCCCUAAACGAUGAAUACUCGCUGUUGGCGAUAUACAGUCAGCGGCUAAGCGAAAGCGUUAAGUAUUCCACCUGGGGAGUACGCCCGCAAG
rnacentral:rRNA from 1 species